rnacentral:rRNA from 1 species
AGAGUUUGAUCCUGGCUCAGGACGAACGCUGGCGGCGCGCCUAACACAUGCAAGUCGAACGAGCGAGAGAGAGCUUGCUUUCUCAAGCGAGUGGCGAACGGGUGAGUAACGCGUGAGGAACCUGCCUCAAAGAGGGGGACAACAGUUGGAAACGACUGCUAAUACCGCAUAAGCCCACAGCUCGGCAUCGAGCAGAGGGAAAAGGAGCAAUCCGCUUUGAGAUGGCCUCGCGUCCGAUUAGCUAGUUGGUGAGGUAAUGGCCCACCAAGGCGACGAUCGGUAGCCGGACUGAGAGGUUGAACGGCCACAUUGGGACUGAGACACGGCCCAGACUCCUACGGGAGGCAGCAGUGGGGAAUAUUGCACAAUGGGGGAAACCCUGAUGCAGCGACGCCGCGUGGAGGAAGAAGGUCUUCGGAUUGUAAACUCCUGUUGUUGAGGAAGAUAAUGACGGUACUCAACAAGGAAGUGACGGCUAACUACGUGCCAGCAGCCGCGGUAAAACGUAGGUCACAAGCGUUGUCCGGAAUUACUGGGUGUAAAGGGAGCGCAGGCGGGAAGACAAGUUGGAAGUGAAAUCUAUGGGCUCAACCCAUAAACUGCUUUCAAAACUGUNUUUCUUGAGUAGUGCAGAGGUAGGCGGAAUUCCCCGGUGUAGCGGUGGAAUGCGUAGAUAUCGGGAGGAACACCAGUGGCGAAGGCGGCCUACUGGGCACCAACUGACGCUGAGGCUCGAAAGUGUGGGUAGCANACAGGAUUAGAUACCCUGGUAGUCCACACCGUAAACGAUGAUUACUAGGUGUUGGAGGAUUGACCCCUUCAGUGCCGCAGUUAACACAAUAAGUAAUCCACCUGGGGAGUACGACCGCAAGGUUGAAACUCAAAGGAAUUGACGGGGGCCCGCACAAGCAGUGGAGUAUGUGGUUUAAUUCGACGCAACGCGAAGAACCUUACCAAGUCUUGACAUCCUGCGACGCACAUAGAAAUAUGUGUUUCCUUCGGGACGCAGAGACAGGUGGUGCAUGGUUGUCGUCAGCUCGUGUCGUGAGAUGUUGGGUUAAGUCCCGCAACGAGCGCAACCCUUACUGUCAGUUACUACGCAAGAGGACUCUGGCAGGACUGCCGUUGACAAAACGGAGGAAGGUGGGGAUGACGUCAAAUCAUCAUGCCCUUUAUGACUUGGGCUACACACGUACUACAAUGGCGUUAAACAAAGAGAAGCAAGACCGCGAGGUGGAGCAAAACUCAGAAACAACGUCCCAGUUCGGACUGCAGGCUGCAACUCGCCUGCACGAAGUCGGAAUUGCUAGUAAUCGUGGAUCAGCAUGCCACGGUGAAUACGUUCCCGGGCCUUGUACACACCGCCCGUC